rnacentral:lncRNA from 1 species
ACUUUCUGUGCGUCCGUUCCACCGUCCGGAUCCCCGCCACAACAGAGUCAGGGAAAGCUUCCUCUUUUUGUGCACUUGUUUGUCCUAAGGCCGUUACAAGUAUUGUUCGUUCAUUCUGCAAAUAUUUGUUGACCGCCUAUGUGCCAGGCCAACAAAGUCCCUGCCCUCCUGGAGCUCAUGUUCUAAUGACUGGGUGACAGACUCUCUACCAGUAACAUUUGCUGUAUCCGCUUUAUCACAUGCCGUCUCUGCAUCCAGCAAUCCAUCCUAUUUUUUGAUACAUUCAAAGUAAAUUAUCAGUACCUUUCAUCCCUAAAAACUCGCCUGCUAAUUGAGAACUACAAAGACUCCUCAGCAUUUAACGACUACCCUAACCACUGCACUAAGAGACUUGACUAAACUCUAACAUGGCAUCAUGCUAAGUUAACAGCCUAAGGGCGGAUCUCUAGGUGGGCCUAGGCCCCUUUAAAAUGCCUGCCCAAGAAAGCUCAGGGGUGCCAAAAGAAUUCACCAUUUGUUCCAGCC